rnacentral:rRNA from 1 species
GACGAACGCUUGCGGCGUGCUUAACACAUGCAAGUCGAACGGAAAGGCCCUGCUUUUGUGGGGUGCUCGAGUGGCGAACGGGUGAGUAACACGUGAGUAACCUGCCCUUGACUUUGGGAUAACUUCAGGAAACUGGGGCUAAUACCGGAUAGGAGCUCCUGCUGCAUGGUGGGGGUUGGAAAGUUUCGGCGGUUGGGGAUGGACUCGCGGCUUAUCAGCUUGUUGGUGGGGUAGUGGCUUACCAAGGCUUUGACGGGUAGCCGGCCUGAGAGGGUGACCGGCCACAUUGGGACUGAGAUACGGCCCAGACUCCUACGGGAGGCAGCAGUGGGGAAUAUUGCACAAUGGGCGGAAGCCUGAUGCAGCAACGCCGCGUGCGGGAUGACGGCCUUCGGGUUGUAAACCGCUUUCGCCUGUGACGAAGCGUGAGUGACGGUAAUGGGUAAAGAAGCACCGGCUAACUACGUGCCAGCAGCCGCGGUGAUACGUAGGGUGCGAGCGUUGUCCGGAUUUAUUGGGCGUAAAGGGCUCGUAGGUGGUUGAUCGCGUCGGAAGUGUAAUCUUGGGGCUUAACCCUGAGCGUGCUUUCGAUACGGGUUGACUUGAGGAAGGUAGGGGAGAAUGGAAUUCCUGGUGGAGCGGUGGAAUGCGCAGAUAUCAGGAGGAACACCAGUGGCGAAGGCGGUUCUCUGGGCCUUUCCUGACGCUGAGGAGCGAAAGCGUGGGGAGCGAACAGGCUUAGAUACCCUGGUAGUCCACGCUGUAAACGGUGGGUACUAGGUGUGGGGUCCAUUCCACGGGUUCCGUGCCGUAGCUAACGCUUUAAGUACCCCGCCUGGGGAGUACGGCCGCAAGGCUAAAACUCAAAGGAAUUGACGGGGCCCCGCACAAGCGGCGGAGCAUGCGGAUUAAUUCGAUGCAACGCGUAGAACCUUACCUGGGUUUGACAUGGAUCGGGAGUGCUCAGAGAUGGGUGUGCCUCUUUUGGGGUCGGUUCACAGGUGGUGCAUGGCUGUCGUCAGCUCGUGUCGUGAGAUGUUGGGUUAAGUCCCGCAACGAGCGCAACCCUUGUUCACUGUUGCCAGCACGUUAUGGUGGGGACUCAGUGGAGACCGCCGGGGUCAACUCGGAGGAAGGUGGGGAUGACGUCAAGUCAUCAUGCCCCUUAUGUCCAGGGCUUCACGCAUGCUACAAUGGCUGGUACAGAGAGUGGCGAGCCUGUGAGGGUGAGCGAAUCUCGGAAAUCCGGUCUCAGUUCGGAUUGGGGUCUGCAACUCGACCUCAUGAAGUCGGAGUCGCUAGUAAUCGCAGAUCAGCAACGCUGCGGUGAAUACGUUCCCGGG